AAAAUUAUAGGGUUGGUUACACGCCACGUAUCCUAGAUUUGAACGACGCGGUGCUUUUCCUUCUCCAAGGUACCAUAUCGGUUUCGUUUUAUCACAUACCUGUCAUUCUUGUUCACCAAUGAUUAACUUACCGUCGUAGGAAUGAAGAGGCAAUAAAAACUUUAUCCUCUUUUAAAAACCACAAUUAGACACUGUCUUUCCGUUCAUCCACCGACUGUCUUCUUUCGAUCGCAACUUCGACUUUCUAGAACAUCUCUGUCUUUCUCACAACCAAAAAGAAGUCUAACCAAAUCAUUUAGAGAAAGAAAGAACAACUGAUUUGGCGGCAAUAUAUGAUUCAUCUUCCUGGAUUCGUUAACACAGGUUAGAAUUCAUUUAAUUUUGAUUUCAAUUUUUGUUUUAACUAUAACUUUGAAGUAUCUUUUAUAUAAUUGAGCCACUUAUUCAUUUGUAUUGAUUCAACCUUGUUUAUUUUAAAAUUUGGAAAUCGAAUUAUUCAAUUUUCUAUUCUAUAUAUGUUCAAUUGAGUCAUGAAAAGGGUUGAACAAGAAUUGUGAUCAUUAUAUAUAUUUGUAGAAAUAUGCGUAUAUGGAAAUUUCUAUGGAAUCCUAAUCUGAAUUGACAUCAAAACUAAACAAGUUUUCUCCAUGGUUCAUUUAGCUAUGCCAUCUUUGACAAUGCAUAUCGGUUGGGCUAUGGAAGCCAAGUAUUUGAUGAAAUGUCUAGGAGACCGUCUUUAUUCCAUUGUCUCUACUUAUUACAUUUGCUAAUAACAUUUUACCCGAAAAUUAAAAAUUGGCAGUUUGGAUUAAUAAAAUCUUUUGGAUGCUGAUUGUUAGAAUUGUUAAAAUUGUUCUUUGGUUCAUGGCUUUCAUAAUAAAUAGUUACAACUUCCUUUUCUUUUACGUGUAUGAAACUAAAUAAAAGUUGAUGCAUAUUAAUAGUAUAUGGAAUGCUUUUUCAACAUAGUUUUAACGAACAUAGACUUGGGUUUGUUGGUUUUUAAAUUUUGUUUUGUUUGAUUCCUAAAUUUUUUUUUUUUUAUACUUUAUGCAAUAUUAUUGUAAGGGAUUUUACCUUUAAUCCAUGGAAUAGGUACCAUUAAAGACACUCUUCUACUAAUUGAAUUAAAUUUGAAUAAAAAAACAUAAUUGAAAUCCUUACCUAUGCAAUUGUAUUGUUACCAUUAUCUAAUAUGAAUAACUAUCCCACCAGUGUAGCAUAAUUAAUAGAAUAACUAUUUAAUUACAAGUAUGGUAUUCUUUAUUUCCAUUCCUGGAAUCCACCAUAUAAUUACAGCAAAGAGGAAAAGUUUUAAAAUUUUAUGCCCAUAAAAGUCAUCCACAUGAACGUCAAAUAUACCCAAACAUCCAUUUGUCAAUAGUAAAUAUUUGAUCCCUUUCAAACAAUCAACAAAAAUCCGUUUAUAUUUUAAUCUCCACAAACAACCAUCAACAUCCGUAUCACCAUAAACCACCUGAUGUUUAGAAAAUAUUAAAUGAAAAAAAACAAAAGCACAACAUACUAUGCUAUAAUUUUACAUGUUUUCCCAAGUCAUCAGUUAUGUUUUAAUCCCUGUCAAACAAUCAACAACACUGUAUUGCCAUAAACCACCUGCUUUUCAGCAGAUUAAAAAAAAUUCAAAAUUGAUUUUGAAGUAUUGAACUAUUAAUAUCCAAACUUCAAUAGACUAUCUGAUUUUCGAGUACAAUGUCCUAAACCCUAAUAACAAAAUUAUGAAAAUCCCAGGCAAUAAGAUGGAGUGGUGAUUGGUGGAAGACAGUUAAGCAAAAUUAGUGUCAUGAAAAGAAAAAUAACAAGUAGGUAAUUUCAUUUCUAGAUAAGCAUCUCUCUUGUAAAUGAGAUAGCUAGGUGAAUGCAGUGACAAGUUCAUAAUUUACUGUUGAUGGCUGAUCAAAUACAUAGGCUAUCAGUAUAACACCAAUUAAUUCAGUUGGAGCAUGUUACAUUUUUUCUUUGUUAUGUUUGUUAUUUCCAGGGUGUUCAACUGUCACAAAGUUCCAGAAGUGCUAUGAACACAGUCAACAUGAUGAUCUGUGGAGUCACUUCAUAAUAUGCACAUAAUCUGUUGUGUAAAUGCUCAAGUAACUUCUAAAAGAUUCUGGCGAUGUUAACCAUCUGAUGAGUUUAGUUUUGGAAUUAAAAGAAAUAAAAGUUUACUGAGUUUAGAGAUAUAAUUGAUAAAUUAUUACCAAAUGUUGACUAUUGUUCAUUGUCUAAUGAAAUAUGAGGUAUAUGUGCAUGUUGUAGUGAUAAAAAUGACUAACAUCUAAGCUAUAGGGCAUAAAUAGCAAUGUACUUUUUUUAACAUGGUGAGAUAAUCUUUUGUUUGAUCAAUUACUUCUUACACAAUCAAAUUUGCUAUCACUAACACUUUCAAUAUGUACAUACGAAGUCAUGGUGUUUUUAUUAUGCUUUUUAUUCUUAUUGGUAUGAACUAUGAAGGUACAAGAAGAUGAUGAUCCGUGUUAAUAUCAUGUAAAAUAUUACAUGUAUGAUAGAAUAAGAAGAAUAUUAGGGAUGGUUGUUUGUUGGGCAUGAAAGAAGAAGGUGUUGGAUGUAUAGCUAUUGUUUGUGGUUAUGGUGGGGCAGCACUUGAUGCUAACACCUUCUUGACAGCAAGGGAUGUAAGCAAGUUGAUGUGCAUCUAGAACCAUCAAUAGAUGACAAGUAACAUAAAAAUUAUGAUGCUAAUGCAUGUGGACUCAAUUUUUUUCUAAAGGUUAUAUUAAACACCAAGCGGGUCAACUACUACUUUUUAUAUGUAAAUCAU
rnacentral:lncRNA from 1 species